AGAGUUUGAUCCUGGCUCAGGAUGAACGCUAGCGACAGGCUUAACACAUGCAAGUCGAGGGGCAGCACAGGUAGCAAUACCGGGUGGCGACCGGCGCACGGGUGAGUAACGCGUAUGCAACUUGCCUAUCAGAGGGGGAUAACCCGGCGAAAGUCGGACUAAUACCGCAUGAAGCAGGGGCCCCGCAUGGGGAUAUUUGCUAAAGAUUCAUCGCUGAUAGAUAGGCAUGCGUUCCAUUAGGCAGUUGGCGGGGUAACGGCCCACCAAACCGACGAUGGAUAGGGGUUCUGAGAGGAAGGUCCCCCACAUUGGUACUGAGACACGGACCAAACUCCUACGGGAGGCAGCAGUGAGGAAUAUUGGUCAAUGGGCGUAAGCCUGAACCAGCCAAGUCGCGUGAAGGAUGACUGCCCUAUGGGUUGUAAACUUCUUUUAUAAAGGAAUAAAGUCGGGUAUGGAUACCCGUUUGCAUGUACUUUAUGAAUAAGGAUCGGCUAACUCCGUGCCAGCAGCCGCGGUAAUACGGAGGAUCCGAGCGUUAUCCGGAUUUAUUGGGUUUAAAGGGUGCGUAGGCGGCCUUUUAAGUCAGCGGUGAAAGUCUGUGGCUCAACCAUAGAAUUGCCGUUGAAACUGGGGGGCUUGAGUAUGUUUGAGGCAGGCGGAAUGCGUGGUGUAGCGGUGAAAUGCAUAGAUAUCACGCAGAACCCCGAUUGCGAAGGCAGCCUGCCAAGCCAUUACUGACGCUGAUGCACGAAAGCGUGGGGAUCAAACAGGAUUAGAUACCCUGGUAGUCCACGCAGUAAACGAUGAUCACUAGCUGUUUGCGAUACACUGUAAGCGGCACAGCGAAAGCGUUAAGUGAUCCACCUGGGGAGUACGCCGGCAACGGUGAAACUCAAAGGAAUUGACGGGGGCCC
rnacentral:rRNA from 1 species